rnacentral:rRNA from 1 species
UUCCGUAGGUGAACCUGCGGAGGGAUCAUUACCGAGUUUACAACUCCCAAACCCAAUGUGAACGUUACCAAACUGUUGCCUCGGCGGGAUCUCUGCCCCGGGUGCGUCGCAGCCCCGGACCAAGGCGCCCGCCGGAGGACCAACCAAAACUCUUAUUGUAUACCCCCUCGCGGGUUUUUUACUAUCUGAGCCAUCUCGGCGCCCCUCGUGGGCGUUUCGAAAAUGAAUCAAAACUUUCAACAACGGAUCUCUUGGUUCUGGCAUCGAUGAAGAACGCAGCGAAAUGCGAUAAGUAAUGUGAAUUGCAGAAUUCAGUGAAUCAUCGAAUCUUUGAACGCACAUUGCGCCCGCCAGUAUUCUGGCGGGCAUGCCUGUCCGAGCGUCAUUUCAACCCUCGAACCCCUCCGGGGGGUCGGCGUUGGGGAUCGGCCCUUUACGGGGCCGGCCCCGAAAUACAGUGGCGGUCUCGCCGCAGCCUCUCCUGCGCAGUAGUUUGCACACUCGCAUCGGGAGCGCGGCGCGUCCACAGCCGUUAAACACCCCAAACUUCUGAAAUGUUGACCUCGGAUCAGGUAGGAAUACCCGCUGAACUUAAGCAUAUCAAUAAGCGGAGGA